AGAGAGGUGGCCGAGUGGUCGAAGGCGCACGCUUGGAAAGCGUGUAUACGGCAACGUAUCGAGGGUUCGAAUCCCUUCCUCUCUGCAA
rnacentral:tRNA from 1 species